rnacentral:rRNA from 1 species
ACGAACGCUGGCGGCGUGCUUAACACAUGCAAGUCGAACGGAAAGGCCCCCUUGUGGGGUACUCGAGUGGCGAACGGGUGAGUAACACGUGAGUAACCUACCCUUGACUUUGGGAUAACUUCAGGAAACUGGGGCUAAUACCGGAUAGGAGCUCCUGCUGCAUGGUGGGGGUUGGAAAGUUUCGGCGGUUGGGGAUGGACUCGCGGCUUAUCAGCUUGUUGGUGGGGUAGUGGCUCACCAAGGCUUUGACGGGUAGCCGGCCUGAGAGGGUGACCGGCCACAUUGGGACUGAGAUACGGCCCAGACUCCUACGGGAGGCAGCAGUGGGGAAUAUUGCACAAUGGGCGGAAGCCUGAUGCAGCAACGCCGCGUGCGGGAUGACGGCCUUCGGGUUGUAAACCGCUUUCGCCUGUGACGAAGCGUGAGUGACGGUAGUGGGUAAAGAAGCACCGGCUAACUACGUG